rnacentral:rRNA from 1 species
CAGUAGCCACGGGAAUACAGAGGUCUCAAGCGUUGCUCGGAUUCAUUGGGCGUAAAGGGUGCGUAGGUGGCUUGGUAAGUUGAAGGUGAAAUCUCGGGGCUUAACUCCGAAACUGCCUUCAAUACUGCUGAGCUCGAGGAUUGUAGAGGAGAGUGGAAUUCCACGUGUAGCGGUUAAAUGCGUAGAGAUGUGGAGGAACACCAGUGGCGAAGGCGACUCUCUGGUCUGUAACUGACGCUGAGGAGCGAAAGCGUGGGGAGCGAACAGGAUUAGAGACCCCCGUAGUCCCUGUCUCUUAUAC